UGACGAUACUUUUUGGGGGUUAAUCUUCAUUGUAAGGAAAUAAUAUGACUUAUUCUGUAACUUUAUUAGUUUACCGAGCUUCCUAGUCAUUACCCCGUCAAACUAUGAAUAAAACAUGACUUCGAAGUUCAACGAACCGAAACAGCAAAACGUAUUAUUAUUAUAAUAUAUUUAUUGCCGGAAGCAUUAAUAUAUAUUUAUAUUAUACAUAAAUAUAUAAUAACGAUAUCCAACAAACCAGUUUAUUUGUUUAAACAUAAUAUACAGUGUGUAAAAAUCUUUUUUUUUUAGUUCUAAAAAUAAAAAUUUUAAACGGUUAGGGUUUAACCGUUAGACUAACGGUUCUUUAACUGUACCUAGAUGAAGAAAACAUUUGGAAUCAUUCUAGAUUUUCAUAUUAUUUGAUACACGGGUACCUACUAAUUACCUAUAGCUAUUUUGUGGUAAAACGUAUAUACUUAUACUCAGUAAUUGAAAACAUUUUUGUUUGCAUCUAAAUUUUUUUGUUGAGAUGUUCUGUCCCCAGUACUUUUCAUUCUUGCGCUGAAGAGGGUAAUAACUAAAACAAAU